rnacentral:rRNA from 1 species
GACGGAGGAUGCAAGUGUUAUCCGGAAUCACUGGGCGUAAAGCGUCUGUAGGUGGUCAAAUAAGUCAACUGUUAAAUCUUGAGGCUCAACCUCAAAAUCGCAGUCGAAACUAUUAGACUAGAGUAUAGUAGGGGGUAAAGGGAAUUUCCAGUGGAGCGGUGAAAUGCGUAGAGAUUGGAAAGAACACCGAUGGCGAAGGCACUUUACUGGGCUAUUACUAACACUCAGAGACGAAAGCUAGGGUAGCAAAUGGG